rnacentral:rRNA from 1 species
CCUACGGGUGGCAGCAGUGGGGAAUAUUGCACAAUGGGCGCAAGCCUGAUGCAGCCAUGCCGCGUGUGUGAAGAAGGCCUUCGGGUUGUAAAGCACUUUCAGCGGGGAGGAAGGCGGUGAGGUUAAUAACCUCAUCGAUUGACGUUACCCGCAGAAGAAGCACCGGCUAACUCCGUGCCAGCAGCCGCGGUAAUACGGAGGGUGCAAGCGUUAAUCGGAAUUACUGGGCGUAAAGCGCACGCAGGCGGUCUGUCAAGUCGGAUGUGAAAUCCCCGGGCUCAACCUGGGAACUGCACUCGAAACUGGCAGGCUAGAGUCUUGUAGAGGGGGGUAGAAUUCCAGGUGUAGCGGUGAAAUGCGUAGAGAUCUGGAGGGAUACCGGUGGCGAAGGCGGCCCCCUGGACAAAGACUGACGCUCAGGUGCGAAAGCGUGGGGAGCAAACAGGAUUAGAUACCCCAGUAGUC